AACGCAUCUUGCGCUCCCGGGUUAUUCCUGGGAGCAUGCUUGUUGGAGUGUCGCGAAACUCUCAACCCCGCCUUGACUCGCGUCGAGGUUGCUUUGGGUUUGGAUCAUGACCCGUUGCUGGCUGCUCCGGUGGCCUGCUGGGUUGAAAUACAUCAAGCUGAAUCCUAUUCGUGCGGCUUGACCUGUUGUUGUAAGCAUCCAACUUUCAAUGGGAACGCACUGUGGGCAUGAGCUUUACCAAAUGGAUGAACCGCUUCGUGGACGUCUUUGUUGACGGACGCCUAGUGCAUUCUGACCUCCAAUCAAGUAGGACUACCCGCUGAACUUAA
rnacentral:misc_RNA from 1 species